CAACACCAUCACCACGGUGAUAACAGAUGAUGCUGAUUCAAUAUCUGCAACCAAUUCUAGCCAAAUACUUGGAAAGCUGGACUCUACAACUAAUCCAAGAAUAUCUUACUCUGGAACCUGGUGUUCUUUUCAAUUCUUUCCCAGACACAAGCUUUGCUCAUUUUAAUCAACCAUCUUUACAAGCAAAGAUCACACUACAGAUGUUUUACUGUUACAACAAUGAUCAAAGAUGCUGGGAGCACAAAAACCUAAAGACUGUUGG